GUUUUUUUGUUUUGUUUUUGUUUUUUUGUUUGUUUUGUUUUUUGUGAGAGUACCUGCCAUGUUACCCAGGCUGGCCUUAAACUCCUGGGUUCAAGUGAUCCUUUUGCCUCAGUCUUUGGAGUAGCUGGGACUACAGGCAUGAGCCAUCCAGCCUGAUUCAUACCAUGAUUUAAAUUGUGUUUUUAGAGCCCUUUCCUUCUACUCAGAUUUAGAUUCCAUUUUGUUUUAUAUGACUAUUUCCAAUCCUGUUUUCUUUUUGUUUCCAUAUGCCUGAUGUCUUCUUAUCCAGUGCCUUGUUUUAACCUUUCUUUAUUAUUGUAUUGUGGGAGUGUUUCUUGUAAAUCACAUAUAAUUGAAUUUAAUUUUUAACUUAGUAUCAUGGUCUGUGCCUUUACAUUUAGUUAAUACUGUUAACUUUAUUUUUUCCAUUUUAUUUUAUGUUUUCUAUUAUUUUGUACUAUUAGUUAUAUUUUGUUGAGCCUCUUUUUACUUUCUCUUAUUUUAGCUUAUUCAAAUUUCUGUUCUUACACAUUUGUUAUACUGUUUAUUUGGCAAGCCUACUGUGCUUUUCUGCACAUUUCAGUCCGUAAGUGCUGACACUCAAAAUCAAGCAGUAUUUCUCUACUAUUGAAUCCAAGUGAAAUGAUUGUGCUUCCCACAGAGGCACCCUGUUUUCUCACUAUCCCCUGAAUCCAACAACAGGAAAGCUUUAGAAAUGUUUACACAAACUCUAAGUAGCAUUUAGUAUAUAGAAGUUCAAUUUUUGGUCUUGGAAUUAGUUAUUGAGUUAAAAGUUAUUUAUUUAAAAGCUGUAUGUUCCUGGGGAAGUUAUUAAUCACUGUGUAUCUCUAUUUCUUCAUGUGUAACAUGAGGGUGUUAAAUAAGAUAUAUAGUGCUUAGAGCAGUACCUGGAAAGUAGUAAGUGCUAAAUAAAUGCUACAUGAUAGUUUAGAUUGGAUUAUAGUCUCUCUGAAUCUUUGCAUUUCAAAUAUAUUUUAAUCCACUUUGAUUUGUGAAGACUGACUUGGCUGGGCACACUUUAUGGAUGUUAGUAUUUUUAUCAUAGCAUUGUGUAGACAUUAUUUCAUUGGUUCCUUGCCUCUAGAAUGGCAAAUAAAAAUUUUAUUUUUCCUUUAUAGGUAUGUUUUUGUACUAGUCCCUAUCAUUGGACUUAUUAAUUUUAUGAGUGUACUUUGACCUUUUUUCAUAAUCCUGUCUGGUACUUGGCAUAUGCUUUCACUCUGUAGCCAUAAGACUUUAUUUAGAUUAGGGGGAAUUUCUUUAUUAUUUCUUUACUUCUUUUUAAUCUGUUGCUUUUUCUCAUUCUAGGAAUUCAUUUAUUUGUUGGGUCAUUUGGAGCAGUCCUCCAACUUUAAAAAAUCUUUUUCUUCAUAAUUUUCAUUUAUUCUUUAGAUUUUUACAUGAUCUUCCUUGCUACUUAUUCAAUUCUCAACAAUGGAAUUCCCUCUUUUAUUUAAUUGGAUAGUGAUUUAAAAUGUGAAAGUCAUGUUUUGUGAAAUAAUCGUUUUGCUUGAAUUGUUUCGUUUUAGUGUUAUUAUUACUUUUUUUGCUGAAGAUAAUAACUGACUCUUCCAAAAGUUCUAUUUCAGUUGGAGAUAAUAUAAAUAAUACAUAUUUUGAAAUGCACAGACACCAGAUAUGAAUAGUCACAUAUAAAAGUAAGAGAAAUUUGGAGAAAGGACAACUCAAAGUCUUCUGAAAAACAGGCAGAACUGAGAUUUGAUUGAAAGCAUUUUCAUGUGUCUGUGUUUAUUCUUCAUUGUAUCCACAUUAUGCUUCAUAUAGUAUUUUCCUAGACAUACCUAGAGAGGCCUAUGUAAAUGGUAGGUUUAAGAUUUUCAGAAAGUAAAUUGAGACUGUUACCCAUAAUUUAUCUGUUCGCUUAAUCUUUUUUCCCCACCCUUUCCUAAUCUCUGUUUCACAUUAGCACAUUAUCUUUGUUAUAGCUUAAAAGAACUAAGCUCAGAAUUUAUUGUCUAGGACAAAGCAGUGUACAAGCAAAUAAAGUGGGUAGAGACAGUAGCCUGACCAAUAGCUGAUACUCUUUCCAUUUCCCAAUGGUCCCAUCCUGUUUAUGUUCCUAGAGGAAACCUCUGAAUAGUAAGAACGAAGAGAAUAUGCAGUGAUUUACUAAGGGAUGGAUUGACAGACACACAAAACUAUUAAACAUUGUCAUGUACUUUUUGACUGAAAUCCUGAAAAGAGAAUGUCAUUUUCUCCUUUUCUUGAAGAUGCUUUCUUUUCUAUUAGUGCAUUUCAAUUAUACAGAAUCAUGGGUUUCACUGUGGCAUAUUCAUGCAUGUAUGUAGAAUACUUCGAUCAUAUUCACAUACCCAUACCCCUCCCUUCCCCUGCUUUCCUGUCUUCCCCUGAUCCUCUUCCUUUUCUCUAAUAGUGUCCCUUCUAGAAGAUGGUUUCUUAUUGACUCUUUUUAAAAAUUAUAUAUAUAUAUAUAUUUUUAGUUGUUGAUGGACAUUUAUUUUAUUCAUUCAUUUAUAUGUGGUGCUGAGAAUCAAACCCAGUGCCUCACACAUGCUAGGCAAGCACUCUACCACUGAGCCACAACCCCAGUCCUCUUAUUGAUUCUUAAAAUAAAGAUUUAAUAUUGCACUAGAUAUUGCAAAUAUUUACACAUUUACAUGUGUUCCUAGAUGAUAGAAUACUAUGUUUUAGAGAAAAGCUUCUGUUCUUGUUCUUCCCUUGCAAAAUAUCUCUUAAUUUUCCAUUUCCCCCAUUCCUUACAUCAGGAAUGGUUUAUGGAGAGAUGUUAGAUUUCCUAUGACCUAAAUAAAUGAAAAUGUUGUGCCAGGUAUACACAAAGAUUUAUCUGGUUACAGUUUUAUUUUUCUUUAUCCUGCUCAAAACUCACUGUAUUCAAUAUAAAGAUUCUUUCCUUCCUCUAGUUGUUGAAAAUUCUGAGAGUUCCAUCAAAUGUUUCCUCAUCCUCAUUGUCUGUAGGCUUUCUUUAUGUAAUUCCUUCACAUGUAUUUUAAAACUAAAUUUCUGCCAUGUCUUCCAACUUCUCAUUCAUAUUUGCACCAUUUUAUCUUUGUGCACUUCAUUCUGGGUGAUUUCUUACUAUAUUUAAAUGACCUAAUUUUCUCCUUGUUUGUGUUUGCCUCUGCUAAGGCCAGGUGUUUCACUAGUUCCAAAUUAAUUUUUAUGCUAGUGUCUUUUGGGUUCUUUAACACAUAGGAUUGGUGACUUCAAUGCCAUGCCAAAGGGGGGUUCUAAUUGCUCCCACAGAACUCUUUAUCUACCUUUGACUUCUCAUAAAAGACAAGUUUAUUUUUGGCAAAGGAAAAACUAUCUUGUUAUCAUUUCCAUGCUGAUUACACCUCUGUGGGAUCUGGAUUUAGACAGCUUCUCAGUAUUAACUGCUCAUUUUCCAUAGGCUAGAAAUAUUGCCUCCUAUCUCCAUGUGGAAUUAAGCCUUGGCCCCCAGUCAAGACAAUAUAAACCUGUAUGUCUUUAUCUCCAGCUCAUUGUUGUUUAGCUCCUUUUUUUGUUUCUGGGUGAUUUCCAUUUCAUGAUUAUGAAUUUGGUUAUACUGCUGUUUCUAGAGAAGGUACAUAUUCUAUCAUUUCUGUGAGUUUCAAGUGGUAAGAGGGAAGCUUUCCAAAUCAGUUUCCUGUGCUACUGAUUGAAAAUUCCUCAGAUAUGUUAUUGAAUUGGAUUGUGUAGGUGACAUGUCAUGCCUCUUAGAUACCUGAAAAGGGGCCAAGGGUAUAGCUUAGUGGUAGAGCACAUGCUUAGCAUGCACAAGACCUGGGUUCAAUCCCCAGCAUCACACACACACACACACACACACUCAUACAUAAAAAUACCUGAGAUAUUACAGUUUUAUAUUGCUUCCAGGUGGAAUGUGUGAUUACAACACAGUUAUAUUGUCCCUUUGCCUAGUUAAUGGUACUUUUCUUUAUUUCAGCUCAAAAUUUACCUCCUUAUGGAAGUUCUCCCUGUCCUCUCUCUUCCUCCUUCAGAGUGUGUCUUGAUCUUCUAAUAUGUACUCUUACAUACCUGUGUUCCAUUACUCUUUGUACUCAUGUGGAAUUAUAGUUAUUUAUACACUUAUGUGAUUGUUUGAUUAAUGUACAUAUCUUGCUAUUGGUGAACUUCAUGAAUUCAAACACCUAGUCUGUUUUUCCUACCACUGUAUGCCUUCCAUUGGUGCUC
rnacentral:lncRNA from 1 species